GGAUGAUCUGGCUGUGACAUCUGUCACCCCAUUGAUCACCAGGGUUGAUUCAGCUGAUCUGACUGGCUAGGCAGAUGUGCCCUUCCUCCAUGUGCAUCCCUCCUGAGGCUGCGCGCUUCAAGAAUGGCCUUCCCUGAAUAGAGAUGGACCGGUCUUCGGUUGAGGGUAUACAAGUAGCUGUGCUCCCCUGCUAGAACCUCCAAACAAGCUCUCAAAGUCCAAAAUCACCUGGACUAUAGUGAGGAGUGAGUUAAAGAGAAGCCAGGGUACAGUGAGGAGUCUCCAGACCCAUUAGUAGGCAAC
rfam:Erinaceus europaeus unplaced genomic scaffold scaffold00401, whole genome shotgun sequence